AGUCAUCAACCCUUCCCGUUUUUCUGUGCGGGUGGCCGGUUGGAUCUGGGGGAUUGCUGCCGUCGAGGCUGCUCCCCCCAAAUGCAUCGGUUGGACCUGUGGGUCGAACUCGACUGGGCGUUGUACCAUCCUCGCUCUCUCCCGAGAUGUUCCCCUUCCGUGUCCUUCCAAGACCGACCUUGUGGAGUGGGCGGUCAAACUUUUUGAAAU
rnacentral:misc_RNA from 1 species